GGGCACAUGGUCUAGUGGUAUGAUACUCCCUUCGCACAGCUUGAGAUUCAGAUCCGCCUCUGAAACUCAGCAAUUAGUGUAUGGGAGGGGUCCGGGGUUCAAUUCCCUGUGUGUCCA